rnacentral:rRNA from 1 species
CCUAGGGGUGCUCCAGUGGGGAAUAUUGCACAAUGGGCGCAAGCCUGAUGCAGCCAUGCCGCGUGUAUGAAGAAGGCCUUCGGGUUGUAAAGUACUUUCAGCGGGGAGGAAGGGAGUAAAGUUAAUACCUUUGCUCAUUGACGUUACCCGCAGAAGAAGCACCGGCUAACUCCGUGCCAGCAGCCGCGGUAAUACGGAGGGUGCAAGCGUUAAUCGGAAUUACUGGGCGUAAAGCGCACGCAGGCGGUUUGUUAAGUCAGAUGUGAAAUCCCCGGGCUCAACCUGGGAACUGCAUCUGAUACUGGCAAGCUUGAGUCUCGUAGAGGGGGGUAGAAUUCCAGGUGUAGCGGUGAAAUGCGUAGAGAUCUGGAGGAAUACCGGUGGCGAAGGCGGCCCCCUGGACGAAGACUGACGCUCAGGUGCGAAAGCGUGGGGAGCAAACAGGAUUAGAUACCCCAGUAGUC